UACGUAGGGUGCAAGCGUUACUCGGAAUUACUGGGCGUAAAGCGUGCGUAGGUGGUGAGUUAAGUCUGGCGUGAAAGCCCCGGGCUCAGCCCGGGAAGUGCGCUCGAAACUGCGCGGCUCGAGUGCCGGAGGGGAGAGUGGAAUUCCUGGUGUAGCGGUGAAAUGCGUAGAUAUCAGGAGGAAUACCGGUGGCGAAAGCGACUCUCUGGACGGCAACUGACGCUGAGGCACGAAAGCGUGGGGAGCAAACAGG
rnacentral:rRNA from 1 species